rnacentral:rRNA from 1 species
GAUGAACGCUGGCGGCGUGCCUAAUACAUGCAAGUCGAGCGAAUGGAUUAAGAGCUUGCCCUUAUGAAGUUAGCGGCGGACGGGUGAGUAACACGUGGGUAACCUGCCCAUAAGACUGGGAUAACUCCGGGAAACCGGGGCUAAUACCGGAUAACAUUUUGAACCGCAUGGUUCGAAAUUGAAAGGCGGCUUCGGCUGUCACUUAUGGAUGGACCCGCGUCGCAUUAGCUAGUUGGAGAGGUAACGGCUCACCAAGGCAACGAUGCGUAGCCGACCUGGGAGGGUGAUCGGCCAAACGGGGACUGGGACACGGCCCAGACUCCUACGGGAGGCAGCAGUAGGGAAUCUUCCGCAAUGGACGAAAGUCUGACGGAGCAACGCCGCGUGAGUGAUGAAGGCUUUCGGGUCGUAAAACUCUGUUGUUAGGGAAGAACAAGUGCUAGUUGAAUAAGCUGGCACCUUGACGGUACCUAACCAGAAAGCCACGGCUAACUACGUGCCAGCCGCCGCCGUAA